AACCGUCGACAGUCAGGCAACGAGCGAGACCCGUGCCCACUGUUGCCAGCAUGUCCUUCGGGACGAUGGGUACUCUGUGGGGACCGCCGAUGCUAAAUCGGAGGAAGGUGCGGGCUACGGUAGGUCAGUAUGCCCCGAAUCUCCCGGGCUACACGCGGGCUACAAUGACUGGGACAAUGGGCUCCUACCCCGAAAGGGGAUGGUAAUCUCAUAAACCCAGCCGUAGUUCGGAUCGAGGGCUGCAACCCGCCCUCGUGAAGCUGGAAUCCGUAGUAAUCGCGUUUCAACAUAGCGCGGUGAAUACGUCCCUGCUCCUUGCACGAAUUCGCCG
rnacentral:rRNA from 1 species